CACAGUCCAACAAUGACUAAGAUCGCUAUACUUUAUGUGGCCCUCGUGGUCUUCGCCAUGGUUCAAGCAACACCAGAUGGCGUUGGAGGUGGAUUAGGCGGCGGCGUCGGCGGCGGUAGUGGAAUUGGCACCGGAGGUGGUUUGGGAAGCGGUGGCGGCGGCGGCCUUGGAGGAGGUGUUGGUGGUGUUGGGGGUAUUUCCGUUGAUAAAGACCAAGGCUAACAUGGACGCUACUUUCGGCACUACACUGACACACGACGGCUGAUAAUAUUAUGUUACAAUAUUGAGUAAUAUUCAACUUUUAACUCCUUUUCAUAUCAAAUUAUAAUUCCGGCUACAAUAAUAUAUACCUAAUAUUCCUAAAUAUAGCAUUGAUUUUUCAAAAA